UUCAUGUUCUUCAUGUAUACCAAAUUGCCUCAAAUCUCCAAGUCAUCGUCAUCCAUAUUGCCCUCAUGAUGCCUUAAGCCAUGCAUUGCCCAAAACCAUGAAGUUGUGCUAUUAUAUGCCUGCAUCCAAACCAAUCCAUGUAUCCCAUGAUAGAAGUUAGUGCAUAUACACAGUGUUACAACAAUUCCAAAUUCCAAAUUUUAAACUUUGGAUACUAACAUAAAUAUAUGAUUAACAUCGACAAUGAAG
rnacentral:lncRNA from 1 species